GCACCAGUGGUGUGUGGAACACACACCGACCUGAUGCUGCCUUGAUCUACAUGCCCUUGGCGGUGAGACGGGGUUCAAAUCCCCGCUGGUGCA